GACGAACGCUGGCGGCGUGCUUAACACAUGCAAGUCGAACGAUGAAGCCUUAGCUUGCUUUGGUGGAUUAGUGGCGAACGGGUGAGUAACACGUGAGCAACGUGCCCAGGACUCUGGAAUAACCGCGGGAAACCGUGGCUAAUACCGGAUAGGUGCCGAGGCCGCAUGGUCUUCGGUUGGAAAGUUUUUGCGGUUCUGGAUCGGCUCACGGCCUAUCAGCUUGUUGGUGGGGUAAUGGCCUACCAAGGCGACGACGGGUAGCCGGCCUGAGAGGGUGACCGGCCACACGGGGGGUGUGAGGCGGCCCAGGCUCGUGCGGGAGGCAACAGUGGGGAGUGGUGCACGAUGGGCGCGAGGCUGAUGCAGCAUCUCCGCGUGGGGGAUGACGGCCUUCGGGUUGUAAACCACUUUUAGUCGGGAAGAAGCGCAAGUGACGGUGCCUACAGAAACAGCACCGGCUAACUACGU
rnacentral:rRNA from 1 species